rnacentral:rRNA from 1 species
GCCUACGGGCGGCUGCAGUGGGGAAUUUUGGACAAUGGGGGCAACCCUGAUCCAGCCAUGCCGCGUGAGUGAAGAAGGCCUUCGGGUUGUAAAGCUCUUUCGGCCGGGAAGAAAUCGUGUUCUCUAACAUAGGACAUGGAUGACGGUACCGGACUAAGAAGCACCGGCUAACUACGUGCCAGCAGCCGCGGUAAUACGUAGGGUGCGAGCGUUAAUCGGAAUUACUGGGCGUAAAGCGUGCGCAGGCGGUUUUGUAAGACAGAUGUGAAAGCCCCGGGCUUAACCUGGGAACUGCGUUUGUGACUGCAAGGCUAGAGUACGGCAGAGGGGGGUGGAAUUCCUGGUGUAGCAGUGAAAUGCGUAGAUAUCAGGAGGAACACCGAUGGCGAAGGCAGCCCCCUGGGCCUGUACUGACGCUCAUGCACGAAAGCGUGGGGAGCAAACAGGAUUAGAUACCCCUGUAGUCUCG